rnacentral:rRNA from 1 species
AUGUAAUGUAAUUCCUACAAUGUUAAUGCAUCGGAUCCCAUUAGAAAUCUAUAGUUAAGUAUGUUUGGGAUAGAGUAGUACAUUGAUGGGUUACCUCACGAUAAGUCCUAGUGUUUUACAUG